rnacentral:sRNA from 1 species
CUGUUACGCGCUUCAUGGACGUUUCCUCCCUAGACUACGGCGGCGCACUUCGGGGCGCCGUUUUUUUUGGAGGGU